GACGAACGCUGGCGGCGUGCUUAACACAUGCAAGUCGAACGGAAAGGCCCUGCUUUUGUGGGGUGCUCGAGUGGCGAACGGGUGAGUAACACGUGAGUAACCUGCCCUUGACUUUGGGAUAACUUCAGGAAACUGGGGCUAAUACCGGAUAGGAGCUCCUGCUGCAUGGUGGGGGUUGGAAAGUUUCGGCGGUUGGGGAUUGACUCGCGGCUUAUCAGCUUGUUGGUGGGGUAGUGGCUUACCAAGGCUUUGACGGGUAGCCGGCCUGAGAGGGUGACCGGCCACAUUGGGACUGAGAUACGGCCCAGACUCCUACGGGAGGCAGCAGUGGGGAAUAUUGCACAAUGGGCGGAAGCCUGAUGCAGCAACGCCGCGUGCGAGAUGACGGCCUUCGGGUUGUAAACCGCUUUCGCCUGUAACGAAGCGUGAGUGACGGUAAUGAGUAAAAAAGCACCGGCUAACUACGUG
rnacentral:rRNA from 1 species